rnacentral:tRNA from 1 species
AGUUAAAUACUUAAGAAAAGUAUUAUGUUUUGAAAGCAUAAUUAAGAGGUUUAAUUCCUCUAUUAACUU